rnacentral:rRNA from 1 species
UUCCGGUUGAUCCUGCCGGACCUGACUGCUAUCGGAUUGAUACUAAGCCAUGCGAGUCAUUGUAGCAAUACAAGGCAUACGGCUCAGUAACGCGUAGUCAACCUAACCUAUGGACGGGAAUAACCUCGGGAAACUGAGAAUAAUGCCCGAUAGAACACUAUACCUGGAAUGGUUUGUGUUCCAAAUGAUUUAUCGCCAUAGGAUGGGACUGCGGCCUAUCAGUUUGUUGGUGAGGUAAUGGCCCACCAAGACUAUUACAGGUACGGGCUCUGAGAGGAGUAGCCCGGAGAUGGGUACUGAGACACGGACCCAGGCCCUAUGGGGCGCAGCAGGCGAGAAAACUUUGCAAUGUGCGAAAGCACGACAAGGUUAAUCCGAGUGAUUUGUGCUAAACGAAUCUUUUGUUAGUCCUAGAAACACUAACGAAUAAGGGGUGGGCAAGUUCUGGUGUCAGCCGCCGCGGUAAAACCAGCACCUCAAGUGGUCAGGAUGAUUAUUGGGCCUAAAGCAUCCGUAGCCGGCUCUGUAAGUUUUCGGUUAAAUCUGUACGCUUAACGUACAGGCUGCCGGGAAUACUGCAGAGCUAAGGAGUGGGAGAGGUAGACGGUACUCGGUAGGAAGUGGUAAAAUGCUUUGAUCUAUCGAUGACCACCUGUGGCGAAGGCGGUCUACCAGAACACGUCCGACGGUGAGGGAUGAAAGCUGGGGGAGCAAACCGGAUAGAUACCCGGGUAGUCCCAGCUGUAAACUAUGCAAACUCAGUGAUGCAUUGGCUUGUGGCCAAUGCAGUGCUGCAGGGAAGCCGUUAAGUUUGCCGCCUGGGAAGUACGUACGCAAGUAUGAAACUUAAAGGAAUUGGCGGGGGAGCACCACAAGGGGUGAAGCCUGCGGUUCAAUUGGAUUCAACGCCGGG